rnacentral:lncRNA from 1 species
UGGCCAGCUGCAACUUGAACACUUGAACAAAUUAUUUCAGACAAUGUUAAUUAAAUCUGUACUUUCAUCGUAUUGAAGGAAAUAUUUAUUUCUGAUUCUGAUUAGGAAAAAUGGUUAACCCUUUGGCAUAAGCUAAUCCUGUGCACACCCAACUCUAACUUCAGUGCUCAUAGCAAGCCCCAGGUCUACUUCAUGGGUCACCCAGAAGCCCCAAAAGCCAGAGCAGAUAGAUAAAGGACACGUGGGAGGGGUCCUGGACCCUGCAAGCUGUCCUCCCUUGCCACUCCCAGGCCAACCUGAAACAAAUCAAAUCCUUCUAUGCUUUUCUUUUUAAUAUGCAUUUCAUUUCAAAGCGAAUUUGGGUAGUUCUGCUAAGAUGGUGCUGGAAACAGCGACUCAUUGACCCAACUAAUCAAAAAGAAAGUUGGUUGAUAAUAUCAGGGAUGGAGCUCUUCUAUGAAUUCCAAGUGUGGGCACAACUACUAGAGAAAAACUUGUAGCCAGGUGUGGUGGUGUGAUCCCAGGAACUCUGGUGGUGUGAUCCCAGAAACUCUGGAGGCUAAAGUAGGAGGAUGGCAAUUCAAGGCCAGCCUCAGCAACUUAGCCAGGCUCUGAGCAACUUAUUGCGACCCUGUCUCAAAACAAAAAAUAAAAAGGGCUGGGGAUGUGGCUUAGGAGUAAAGCCGC